rnacentral:tRNA from 1 species
UCCGCCCUGGUGUAAUGGCAGCACGCAGGCCUUUGGUGCCUUGAGGUCCGGGUUCGAAUCCUGGGGGCGGAGCC